CGCACUGUUGAUAGAUAGCUAGAUCCCACAGAAGCAUUCUGUGUAUGAUUGAAGUUCCCGUUAGAGAGCAUGCAAUAAGAACGUUUAAAGUAAGUUACCUCUAAUUGAAAGUGAAACCAUUUUUUUCAUGAAUGGUGUGUGCGUUACAGCUAGGGCAGGUGUGACUAGGGAUGCAUGGACAGAAACAAAAGGGAUUUAACUCCUAAACUGCAGAUAUUUGAGCAG